UAGGGGAAUCUUCCACAAUGGACGCAAGUCUGAUGGAGCAACGCCGCGUGAGUGAAGAAGGGUUUCGGCUCGUAAAGCUCUGUUGUUAAAGAAGAACGUGGGUAAGAGUAACUGUUUACCCAGUGACGGUAUUUAACCAGAAAGUCACGGCUAACUACGUGCCAG
rnacentral:rRNA from 1 species